rnacentral:lncRNA from 1 species
CCGGCGGGAAGCCCUGGCAGGAGGGCACGUCCGGGCCGUGUGCGCCCAAGUCCAAGGGCACCAGUCCUCCGCGGGCCCGGGCCCGGGGUGGAGGGUGUGGGCCGAGCCCAAGACGCGCGAGGGGUAGCGAGUCUGAUUCAGGAAGUCGAGACUCUGACAUCAGGGACAGGACGACGGAGUGGAGUGAAACCUCAAAAAUGCGAAGCGUCCGCCCACGGGAGGGCAGGGGACACAGAGGGCGCCUUUCUCGCCACCGGCGGCAGGUACGCGCGGCGCAGGGCGGCCCCCGCUGACCCUCCCCUCCGGGCCAGGACCGCGCGGGACCCGCAGGGGCUUCCGAGGAGACACCCGGGACCUCGGCCGCCUUCGCUGGGGCGGCACCCGGCGGAUCCCCGGGCGACCGCGCCUGCAAGAAGCCCUCUGGUGGGACUCAAAGAUGGAACUUCCAGGCCCUGUCAUGCUGCUGCAGGACUGCAAUGCCUGAGACUCCACUCAUUUGCUUUCUUGAAACAGCUGUGGGGGCUUCCCUGGUGGCUCAGUGGUAAAGAAUCCACCUGCCCAUGCAGAAGACAUGGGUUCCACCCCCAGUAUGGAAAGAUUCCACAUUCUGCAGAGCAACUAAACCUGUGCACCACAACUUCUGAGCCUGUGCUCCACGACACGAGAAGCACCACAAGAAGUCCACACCACAACCACAGUGUAGACCCCACUGGCCACAACUAGGGAACAGGCUGAGCAGCAGCGAAGACCCAGCCAAAAAUAAAGAAAGAAAUAAGCAGCUGUGGCCCAGGUACGAGGGAAAGGAGAUGAGGAGAGGUCUAGAACAGCUUUCUUUGUUCUCUCAGUCUGAAAACAUCAGGAGACAAGAGAAGGUGGGGAGCAGGGUGGGGAGAGGGGCAAGGCUGUGAAGACAUCUCCCCGUGCCCAGGUGAGGAGCCUGUAGAGGUGCCUGGGAUCCUGGAACAGACACGGAAUGAACUGCUAAACCACUUUCUGAAACUCAAAGUUCUCCCCUUCAUCUCAGGGUUGAGUUAUUGCAUCAAGACUUCCAAACUCAUGGCUAUCUCAUAUCUGAGGCAGUUCACCUCGGCCUACAGGGACAAGCAGCAGCAGCCUGGUGGAAAGAUCUCUACUCUCCC